UGGGGAAUAUUGCACAAUGGGCGGAAGCCUGAUGCAGCGACGCCGUGUGCGGGAUGACGGCCUUCGGGUUGUAAACCGCUUUCAACUGUGACGAAUUUGACGGUAGCAGUAGAAGAAGCACCGGCUAACUACGUGCCAGCAGCCGCGGUGAUACGUAGGGUGCGAGCGUUGUCCGGAUUUAUUGGGCGUAAAGGGCUCGUAGGCGGCCUAUUGCGUCGGGAGUGAAAACCUGCGGCUUAACCGUGGGCUUGCUUUCGAUACGGGUAGACUUGAGGGAGGUAGGGGAGAACGGAAUUCCUGGUGGAGCGGUGGAAUGCGCAGAUAUCAGGAGGAACACCAGUGGCGAAGGCGGUUCUCUGGACCUUUCCUGACGCUGAGGAGCGAAAGCGUGGGGAGCAAACAGG
rnacentral:rRNA from 2 species